GCUCCUAUGGUGCAAUGGAUUAGCAUGAAACCUUGCGGAGGUUUUGAUCAGGGUUCGAAUCCCUGUAGGGGCA
rnacentral:tRNA from 1 species